AUUGAACGCUGGCGGCAUGCCUUACACAUGCAAGUCGAACGGUAACAGGUCUUCGGAUGCUGACGAGUGGCGAACGGGUGAGUAAUACAUCGGAACGUGCCCGAUCGUGGGGGAUAACGAGGCGAAAGCUUUGCUAAUACCGCAUACGAUCUACGGAUGAAAGCGGGGGAUCUUCGGACCUCGCGCGGACGGAGCGGCCGAUGGCAGAUUAGGUAGUUGGUGGGAUAAAGGCUUACCAAGCCGACGAUCUGUAGCUGGUCUGAGAGGAUGAUCAGCCACACUGGGACUGAGACACGGCCCAGACUCCUACGGGAGGCAGCAGUGGGGAAUUUUGGACAAUGGGCGAAAGCCUGAUCCAGCCAUGCCGCGUGCAGGAUGAAGGCCUUCGGGUUGUAAACUGCUUUUGUACGGAACGAAAAGCCUCUUUCUAAUAAAGAGGGGUCAUGACGGUACCGUAAGAAUAAGCACCGGCUAACUACGUG
rnacentral:rRNA from 1 species